GAACGGGUGAGUAAUGUAUCGGAACGUACCUUUCAGUGGGGGAUAACGUAGCGAAAGUUACGCUAAUACCGCAUAUUCUGUGAGCAGGAAAGCAGGGGAUCGCAAGACCUUGCGCUGAUUGAGCGGCCGAUAUCAGAUUAGCUAGUUGGUGAGGUAAAGGCUCACCAAGGCGACGAUCUGUAGCGGGUCUGAGAGGAUGAUCCGCCACACUGGAACUGAGACACGGUCCAGACUCCUACGGGAGGCAGCAGUGGGGAAUUUUGGACAAUGGGGGCAACCCUGAUCCAGCCAUGCCGCGUGAGUGAAGAAGGCCUUCGGGUUGUAAAGCUCUUUCGGCCGGGAAGAAAUCGCAUGGGUUAAUACCCUGUGUGGAUGACGGUACCGGAAUAAGAAGCACCGGCUAACUACGUGCCAGCAGCCGCGGUAAUACGUAAGGUGCGAGCGUUAAUCGGAAUUACUGGGCGUAAAGCGUGCGCAGGCGGUUUAGUAAGACAGGCGUGAAAUCCCCGGGCUCAACCUGGGAACUGCGCUUGUGACUGCUAAGCUAGAGUACGGCAGAGGGGGGUGGAAUUCCACGUGUAGCAGUGAAAUGCGUAGAGAUGUGGAGGAACACCGAUGGCGAAGGCAGCCCCCUGGGCCGAUACUGACGCUCAUGCACGAAAGCGUGGGUAGCAAACAGGAUUAGAUACCCUGGUAGUCCACGCCCUANACGAUGUCAACUAGGUGUUGGGUGGGUAAAACCAUUUAGUACCGGAGCCAACGCGUGAAGUUGACCGCCUGGGGAGUACGGCCGCAAGGUUAAAACUCAAAGGAAUUGACGGGGACCCGCACAAGCGGUGGAUGANGUGGAUUAAUUCGAUG
rnacentral:rRNA from 1 species